rnacentral:miRNA from 1 species
CACGCCAUUUGAGUAGUGGCCG